CAUCACUGUUGAUUUCUUAGAUCCUAGGGAAAUAAAACAGCCAGAUCCAAAUCAUCUUCCUGCAAUAAAACCAAAAUUACCUCCAAACUGCAGUAAUCUCACCAUUGAUUACACCUGUCAGGAAAAUGGAAAACCCAGUGACACCAAGGAACUGUCUGAGCUGGAGCCCUUCACAGACUACAGCUGUACUGGUCAGAUCAAGGAAAACAACGUCACCAUUAAAAAUCUAACUCCUUUCAACUUCAGGGUUG